rnacentral:misc_RNA from 1 species
CAAAACUGAAAAGCUUCAACUUCUUCAAUUUGGUGCAAGACUAACGACGAGCCUCUUGUACAUGAAAAGCAGGAGUUUUUCGAAGAGACUUCAGAUAUAAGUAUUACUUAUAUUUUACAUGUGAGAAUUACUCCAUCCUUGAACACACAGUACCUGCAGGGUUCAUAAGGAUGUUGUUCUCACUUAGAUGCUACAACCAUUCUAAAACCAAUAAGUAGUAAAUCCUCAUAUUGUGGAUGUAAAACUGACUGCUGGUAAAGCAAGACCUUUCAAUCUUAUAACAUAGGCAACUUUUUUUCCCAGAAUGGGACUAUAAACUAAUCAAGCUCCUUUCUUCUUUUGAUCUUUGGCUAGCUUGACAUCCUUUGUAAGCAUUCUUGGAGCUAUAGCCAUAGCCAUUAGCUCCUGGAAAAGCAGUUUGCAUGCAUAGGGAAUGUGAACCUGGACGAUAUCAGUUUUGUUCUUGCAACCUCUGCAUUCAAAAGAAUUCUUCUUGAGGUUGGCAAUGGCUAUCAGCCCACAGCGCUCACAAACGUGAACUCUGUACGCAUCGCUUUGGUCAAAUAACCGCUCCUUGAGAAAAUGAGCAGCACCAUGAGCAAUCAUACAAUCUCGCUCCAUCUCUCCAAAACGAAGACCACCAUCACGUGACCGACCUUCCGCAGGCUGCCUUGUGAGGAUUUGCACAGGGCCUCUGCCUCUAGAAUGAAUCUUGUCAUCAACCAUAUGCUUCAGCCGCUGGUAGUAUGUGGGACCAAGGAAUAUCAUUGCACUAAGCCGCCGCCCAGUAUGACCAUUGUACAUGGUCUCAAAACCACGCAUCUGGUAACCACAUUUAUGCAGAGCUUUACUGAUGUUAUCCACAGUAACAUCCGUAAAGGGAGUGGCAUCACCUUCUUUUCCCAUGUGUGCGGCAACCUUCCCCAUAAUACAUUCAAUCAGCUGACCAAUAGUCAUUCGAGAAGGAAUAGCAUGAGGAUUUACAAUAAUAUCAGGAGUAAUGCCUUCCACGGUCCAUGGCAUAUCUUCUUGUGUAUAUGUCAUACCAACUGUUCCCUUCUGACCAUGUCUACUGCUAAACUUGUCACCAAUUUGAGGAAUACGGACUGAUCUGACCCUCACUUUAACAAAUCUGAGCCCGUCAGCAUUCGUUGUUAAUAGAACCUGAUCCACCAUUCCAGUUUCACUAUGGCGGAGACUAGUACUGUGAUCUUUCCUCGUAUAGCGAGAGGCUUGCCCUUGUGCAUCAUCCUGAGAAAUGGGAGUGGUCUUCCCAAUGAUAACAUCCUCACCAGAAACUCUAGUUCCUGGAGGGGCAAGACCAUCGUCAUCCAACUUAUCGUACGAACCAUGGCGCAUACCCAUAGUAGAUGCUCUAUCAGGACGUCCAAAAUCCUCCUUGACCAAUGUCCCCAUCUUUUUCUCCUCAUCCCUGUACGAACGGAAAAAUAGAGAUCGGAAAAAUCCACGAUCAAUAGAUGACUGGUUCAUAAUGACAGAAUCCUCUUGAUUGUAUCCAGAAUAGCAGGAGAUGGCGACAAUUGCAUUGAUCCCCGCAGGUAGUUGCCUAAAAUGCAAGUGUUCCAUGGCUCGUGUUGUGACAAGAGGCUUCUGAGGAUAAUAAAGCACAUAGGCCAACGUGUCCAUCCGAAAUUGGUAGUUGGUGACAUAAAUUCCCAUGGCUUGCUUACCCAUAGCUGACUGAUAAGUAUUACGGGGAGACUGAUUAUGAUCAGGAAACGGAAUAAUUGACGCACAGACACCCAAUAUUAGUGAUGGGUGAAUUUCGCAAUGAGUAUAGGUAUCAGAAUAAGCGUCGCCAGGAUUAAGGCGCGCUUGCACAAGAUCAUUUAUAGUCAUGCUAAUCAUCGUUGUUUCUUCCUCUUCAGUGUCAAUAUACUCGAUGUAUCCCUUAGCCACGAGGUCGUGCCAGCCACCCUCGUCAGGUGAUUCCCGUUGUUGCAGUGUCUGAAUAUCCUUCUUCUUGAUCAUCAGCCUUUGCUUUUCCACAAUAAACAAUGGACGACUGCACCUGCCAUAGUCGGUAUAAAUUCGAAGUUCUUUCAAACGGAUAUCACGGACCACCCCAACUUCAGUAUUGACGUCAACCCGCCUCCUGAGUCGUCUCAAUGUUCUCACCAACAUGUCAGGAUCACGAUGAAUUCCCACCCAGGUACCAUUGACAAAGAUCUUUGUAGCCUGUGGAAUAACAGCAGGAGAAAUUUCCUCAAAGUUCUCAGUACCCCACUCUUCCAAGAACUCCAAAAUUGGAUAUGCCGCUGAACCAACUGUUAUAUAAACCAUUAAAGCUAGAUUCUUCACCAGCCCACAUGCUUGACCCUCUGGUGUUUCUGCAGGACACAUCAUUCCCCAUUG